rnacentral:lncRNA from 1 species
CCAUUUCUUUCAACCAGUAGCUAUGUUGACAAGCAUUAAUCACCAUUGAUGAUUUGCUCCAGAUCUGAGCGACAAAAAUAGUAGUAUAGAUCAGGCGUUCGGACGGAACGCGGCGGGGAAGUCGGCGAAUGGAGCCGCAGGCUGAGGAGAGAGGGAGGAGGGAAAGAAACUGUCGGUGGAAAGUCGGGGAUGGAGGCUGGGUCGGCGAUGUGCUCGCGAGGGAGAGCGAAAUGAGGGCGCCCAUCCGUGGAGAUGUUGGGGAAACAGCUGCAGAACUGGUGGCGGCAACGCUACAACAGCCAUGGAGAAGGGGGAGAAAAAGGGAGAGAGAAAAGGCGGUGGGCGGUGGGCGG